GAUGAACGCUGGCGGCGUGCUUAACACAUGCAAGUCGAACGAUGAAGCCCAGCUUGCUGGGUGGAUUAGUGGCGAACGGGUGAGUAACACGUGAGUAACCUGCCCUUGACUCUGGGAUAAGCCUGGGAAACUGGGUCUAAUACUGGAUAUGACUUCUCAUCGCAUGGUGGGGGGUGGAAAGAUUUAUUGGUCUUGGAUGGACUCGCGGCCUAUCAGCUUGUUGGUGAGGUAAUGGCUCACCAAGGCGACGACGGGUAGCCGGCCUGAGAGGGUGACCGGCCACAAUGGGACUGAGACACGGCCCAGACUCCUACGGGAGGCAGCAGUGGGGAAUAUUGCACAAUGGGCGCAAGCCUGAUGCAGCGACGCCGCGUGAGGGAUGACGGCCUUCGGGUUGUAAACCUCUUUCAGUAGGGAAGAAGCGAGAGUGACGGUACCUGCAGAAGAAGCGCCGGCUAACUACGUG
rnacentral:rRNA from 1 species